rnacentral:rRNA from 1 species
UACGGGGGGGGGCAAGCGUUGUUCGGAAUUACUGGGCGUAAAGGGUGCGUAGGCGGUCUGUUAAGUUGGAUGUGAAAACUCUGGGCUCAACCCAGAGCCUGCAUCCAAAACUGGCAGGCUAGAGUUCUGGAGGGGGUAGCGGAAUUCCUGGUGUAGCGGUGAAAUGCGUAGAUAUCAGGAGGAACACCGGUGGCGAAGGCGGCUACCUGGACAGAAACUGACGCUGAGGCACGAAAGCUAGGGGAGCAAACAGGAUUAGAUACCCUGGUAGUCCUAGCCCUAAACGAUGGAUACUUGCUGUGACUGGGAUUGAAUCCAGUCGUGGCGAAGCUAACGCAUUAAGUAUCCCGCCUGGGGAGUACGGUCGCAAGGCUGAA